UACGGAGGGUGCGAGCGUUGUCCGGAUUUACUGGGCGUAAAGGGUGUGCAGGCGGGCUGUUAAGUGGUGUAUGAAAGGUCCCGGCUCAACCGGGAUAAGUUAUGCCAGACUGGCAGUCUAGAGAGCGAGAGAGGGACGUGGAAUUCCGGGUGGAGUGGUGAAAUGCGUAGAGAUCCGGAAGAACACCAAAGGCGAAGGCACCAUCCUGGGGAGUCACUGACGCUCGGGUGCGAAAGCCAGGGGAGCGAACGGG
rnacentral:rRNA from 1 species